rnacentral:misc_RNA from 1 species
GGAGGGAUCAUUAACACGUAUCCAACACGUUAUAAACACCCAAAACGGUCUCUUUUGUUCCCAUAGAGAAUAGGGGUCUAGUAAGCCAUAGAUGGAUUGCCUUUGGUCAAACAAAAUUUAAACUCUUUUGUUUGGUCAAAACUCUACUUACAGACUAUCGAACCUUUGAGUUUCACCCUAUUUUUUAUGGCGUAAACCCAAGCCAUCUGGUUAUUAGUGCCAAACCGGUUCCGACCCGGAGCCUAAUAACCUUAUGAAUCCUUUAUUUUUUACCCCUUUAUUUUUAAUAAAAUACUCUGACUUAACUACCAUAUAAACCUAUCAGGAUUAUAUUGUGUUAUACGAAACGCGAACAACUCUUAGCAACGGAUAUCUUGGUUCUCGUACCGAUGAAGAACGCAGCGAAAUGCGAUACGUAAUGCGAAUUGCAGAAUUCAGUGAAUCAUUAAAUCUUGAACGCAAAUUGCGCUCUUGGGAUAGACCUGGGAGCAUGCCCCUCUGAGUAUCGGUUCUAACCAAUCUCGACAGCGUUUUGCUUAUUUAUUUAGGCGAAUUGCUGACGGAAAAUGAGUGUCAAGAUUUCUGAACGAAUCAUGUCACUUGAAAGAUAUAGGAAACUUCAGAACUCCUAGUAGCAAUUCCUUUAUUAAUAAAGGAUAGCCCCGUUGCAUAUCUCGUUUACUUGAAAAUCAAUUUAUUUUAUUAUUAUUAUCAAAAAUGACAGGAUACGGCUGGCUUGUUUACUGGUGACGUGGAUAGAAUUCCCUUUGGGAAAUUUCAAAACGUCAAUGCCAUUAAGUGAGUCCAGUUUAUAUAUUUUGUUGUAUUAUCUUAAUAAAAGUGUUCAGUAUAUGAGUAGAGUAAGCGCCAAUGAGUAUAUGCAUGGGUGUGAUAAAGCUCUGGUUGAGCCACUGUUUGUUUUAUCAGGGAAAACAAAACCAUUAAGUACUACUAUUGUAGUAUUUAAUACUCUUUGAAUUAGAUCUCAGAUGGAGCAAGAGGACCCCCUGAAUUUAAGCAUAUUAUUAAGGGGAGGAAAAGAAACUAACAAGGAUUCCCCUAGUAACGGCGAGUGAAGCGGGAAGAGCUCAAAUUGAAAAUCGGCAACCCAUGCGGGUUGUCGAAUUGUAGCCUAGAGACGCAUUGUCAGCGUGUGACCCAGGUAUAAAUCUUUUGAAACAAGGUAUCAUAGAGGGUGAGAAUCCCGUCUUUGACCUGGAGAUCGCCGCGUACGACAUGCGUUCGUAGAGUCGAGUUGUUUGGGAUUGCAGCUCUAAAUGGUGGUAAAUUUCAUCUAAAGCUAAAUAUCGACGAUGAGACCGAUAGCGAACAAGUACCGUGAGGGAAAGAUGAAAAGAACUUUGAAAAGAGAGUUAAAAAGUACUUGAAAUUGUUAAGAGGGAAGCGCUGGAAACCAGUCAUUACUUGUAGCUAUACUUACUAUUUGCUCUCGAAGAAUGGUUGCAGAUCAGAGCGUAAGCCUGAACGGAUCAUUGGACGAAGGGUGAGUGGGUCCUGUAGUUAUGAGUGGGUCAGAAUCAAUUUGAUUGGCGGGUGAAGACUAUGAGGAAGGUAGGGUCCCCGGACCUGUUAUAGCCUUAUAGGACCUACCGUCGAUUGGAUUGAGGAUGUAUCAAUGUGCGCCGCAAGGUUUCGGUUGCUUGCUUCUGCUGAGUUAGAUGCUUUGGAGAACAAUGUUCUGCGGGUAUCGAAGCUUGGUACUAAGUAGGACAAUCAGAUGCACAUUCGCGAUUCUGACGAAAUGGUUUUCAUCGACCCGUCUUGAAACACGGACCAAGGAGUCUAACAUGUAUGCGAGUAUUUGGGUGGAAAACCCUGAUGCGUAAUGAAAGUGAAGGCAGUUUCGGCUGCUGAGGUAGGAAUCCGCUUGCGGAGGCACUAUCGACCGAUCGUCACUUGUGAUAGAUUUGAGUAAGAGCAUAUCUGUUGGGACCCGAAAGAUGGUGAUCUAUGCUGAACAGGGUGAAGCCAGGGGAAACUCUGGUGGAGGCUCGUAGCGAUACUGACGUGCAAAUCGUUCGUCUGAUUUGGGUAUAGGGGCGAAAGACUAAUCGAACCAUCUAGUAGCUGGUUCCCUC